GACGAACGCUGGCGGCGUGCUUAACACAUGCAAGUCGAACGGAAAGGCCCUGCUUUUGUGGGGUGCUCGAGUGGCGAACGGGUGAGUAACACGUGAGUAACCUGCCCUUGACUUUGGGAUAACUUCAGGAAACUGGGGCUCAUACCGCAUAGGAGCUCCUGCUGCAUGGUGGGGGAUGGAAAGUUUCGGCGGUUGGGGAUGGACUCGCAGCUUAUCAGCUUGUUUGUGGGGUAGGGGCUUACCAAGGUUUUGACGGGUAGCCGGCCUGAGAGGGUGACCGGCCACAUUGGGACUGAGAUACGGCCCAGACUCCUACGGGAGGCAGAAGUGGGGAAUAUUGCACAAUGGGCGGAAGCCUGAUGCAGCAACGCCGCGUGCGGGAUGACGGCCUUCGGGUUGUAAACCGAUUUCGCCUGUGACGAAGCGUGAGUGACGGUAAUGGGUAAAGAAGCACCGGCUAACUACGUG
rnacentral:rRNA from 1 species